AAGCAGGGGCUCAGAGCCUGGCUGCAAUUGAACCUGCCUUUCGUGUUGCUGUGUGCAAGCAGCUGUAAUCCCUCGGGCAUUUAAGAGCAACAGAAGACCUUCCUGAGAAAAUCUUGAAGAACUCACAGUCUAGCAGGAAGAAAGGGCUGCGUAUGGAUUGGUGGGGCUCACUUGGCCAGAAGAGCUCAGGACCCUCGGAGGAGUGGUGGAAGUAGGGAGGCGGAGCUUGGAAUCCGUGUUUGCCCCUUGCUCCUGAAGACGGAGACACUGCGUCUAGAGCUCAUGAGGCAUGGCUACAGUUUGGAUAUGGUUAAAUGUGGUCCUCAAGCUAAUCUCCAUGUCAAGUAUCAAGAGAGAUUGGAAGCCAGGUCUCACCAUGGUGUUUACAGAGCUUAGAGAUGAUCAUACUCUGAAGUGCUGAAGCCAUGCUUCAGACAACAAAGCAGUGAGCUACUCCUGCUGGACUCCAAGGCCUCGCACCCUAUCAGCUGUGUGUAAAGCCGCCCUGAGAAUGUGUGUGGGCUGUGAAGGACUGAAGUUCUGGGAUUACCAAGCUCUAUCGAUGCCUACCAUGUACCUGCGGUGAACAGGAGGUGUCUGGGAGGAAACAUAUGGGGAACGUGCUGAGUCAGUAGGUAGGUGCAGCUGGUCUGAGGACUGCCCUGAGCUGACCCUUCCCCUUUGCUGGAGACUGUUCUCCACGGCGACCGUCUUCAGCACUGAGCUCGCUGCUAGUCUAAGGACCAGUCUGUGGCUCUGCUAGGAGCACCCCUUUCCUCUCUCUGUCCAAGAUGGCAUUGCUAGGCUCCUUUGUGAAAAAACCUUAGGUCUACUCUCUUCAGCAGUACUGCGUUUCCAGGCACAGGCCCUCCUUUUUCAGAGACCAUAACACAGGAGUCACCCCUGGUGACUUGCAUGUGUAGUGCCUGUGGUCUCACUCCCUGACUUUGCUUCUCUUGCUGACAGGCCCUAGGGACUUAUCCUGAUCCAUGCUGGCAGCUGUAACUGCUAACUGCAGCAACAGGGGAUAAGGAAAUACUGACAAGCAAAACUAGCUUUCAGCAAAGGGAGAAGCUGACUAGUGUGAAAUGCUUCCCACUACCUCAUUGUCUAACUAUAUCCCCAACAAGACAGCAGCCAUGUUUGCUAGAGCCAGCUACUCUGCUCUCAGGUUCCUAAGACACUGAAGGCAGCUUCUGCUGCCGAAGUAUAUCCCAGGCAUUUUUCCCAGGAAGGGAGGGGAAGCACAUUGCUCAGAACCACAGUAGUGAUGUCAAAAUAGAGCAGAGGCCCUAAAUGAACCAUGCACCCCCAACAUCCUUCACUCAGAGCCAAGGAGCCCAAUGCACCAGCUGUGACCACAGCAGCCUGGCAGCUCCUCCCAAUACCUGUAACUCUCAGCUCUGAGUGGCUUCUGUGAUGCUAACUCAGAUGCAGCAGAACCUCCUGGACCUUGGAAGGAAAUUUUAGAUAGAUGAUUAAACAGGUAGAUGUAGAUAGAUAGAUGGUAGACAGACAGACAGACAGACAUGCUUAGUGAUUCUCAUCCCCAAAUACAAAGCUUAAUCUUUUCAGGACUGGUAAUUAAUUCAAUUACUUGUUCUACAUUGAGCUUUCCUUAAUAACAGACCUCAUUCAUAAGCACCACGGGUUAAGACACUUUAUUUAAGUUGGGUCAUUUGCUGGGAGAACUGCCUUGUUUAAGAGCCAAUGCCAUCUGAAAUUUUUCAUUGCAACUGACUUCUAAAACUCAAGGCCCAACCACAUGUCACUCAGAACACUGUAUUCUGCCCCUACAAAUGUAGCACCUAGUACACAGCACUGAAUCCCUCUUCUCAUCAGCUCUGAGCAAAGAGCGACUCAGGCAGGGGUUGACACUAAUGAAGCUCUUCCUUUAAAUGCUGUAUCUGAGAACAGUCUCUGACCCGUGAAACCUCCUGGUAAAGCUAACAUCUUGUGAAUGGACUUCAUGCAAGUAGAUAAUGUGACUUUUGUCCACUAUAGGAAAAAAACCAGUGAAAUUCAGAGAAGCAUCUAUAUAGUCCAUAAGGAUAUAUCAAGACACAGAUGUCAGAACCAUGGCACUUGGCUUCAUUAAUUCUGAUAUGAAAUGCAUGAGCACAAUCAAUGGCCAUCUUUAAGGGCUGCAGGUGAUCUUCAAUACUGACAACAAAACUUGAUUGCAAAACUGCAUCUCUCCUUGAAAAACAGAUCUUAAUUUUUGACAUUAUCCACUGUGCCAUAAACAAUUUUUUAAAUGUAAGGUUUAAAAUACAAAUGAUACUAAAGUUUGCCCCGAAGCUGGUUAACAUAGAAAAUAAGCAGGAUAAAUGGCUUCCUUAAGCAUGCAUUUACACUGUAAAAUGACCAUAAAUUACAACCCUGUUUUAGAAAGAAUUUAUGUGCUUAAUAUUCUAUUUUCUUGGUAAAUAACUUUAUUCCCAUUCAUUAUAGGUAGAUGCUGUAGUCUUGGAUGAUCCCUGUCAGAAGUAUCCAGAAAUGUGUAGAAAUGCAUGACAAACAAAGAUGAUAAACAGUCAUGAAAGCGCUUCCUAGGUGUGGGCCUUAGGCUGACUCGGGACACCAAUGAGAAAGAACAGAUUAUAUAACCAGGGCAGCCUAGCACGGACGUCUGUUGUUUCAGUGUGGGCUCACUCAUACAAUGGAGUAAAGCAUGCAACUCUGCCUUCACCUCU
ensembl:lincRNA 4732487G21Rik RIKEN cDNA 4732487G21 gene